AGAACGAACGCUGGCGGCAUGCCUAAUACAUGCAAGUCGAACGAACUCUUCGGAGUUAGUGGCGCACGGGUGCGUAACGCGUGGGAAUCUGCCCUUGGGUUCGGAAUAACAGUUGGAAACGACUGCUAAUACCGGAUGAUGACGAAAGUCCAAAGAUUUAUCGCCCAGGGAUGAGCCCGCGUAGGAUUAGCUAGUUGGUGAGGUAAAGGCUCACCAAGGCGACGAUCCUUAGCUGGUCUGAGAGGAUGAUCAGCCACACUGGGACUGAGACACGGCCCAGACUCCUACGGGAGCAGCAGUAGGGAAUAGUUGGGCAAGUGGGCGAAG
rnacentral:rRNA from 1 species